GCAUAUAGCAAACGCCUGGAACGCCGAGAGCGGCUGCCGAUAAUCCAUAGUGAACAUGUCAUCUCCAACCUUGCCAAACUGGAGUAGCACCGUCUCCGAGUCCCCCUUCCCCUCAGGCUGGCUGGGGUCCGCUGUCGCCACCAGCUGGAAAUUCUUCACCGAGGCAACCGUCACCCUCCCAUGAAAAUUCAGGCACCAGCAUUGCAGGUGCUCGUGCCACCUAGGUGCUUUGUUCCUCAGGAUGAGGGCUCCUGCGGGGUUCUGCGCCUUCGGCUUGAGAGAGUCCUCUUCAAGGGUCUCUGACGCAGACGGGCAUUGCAGAACACAUUGCAUCCUUCUUGGACCCCUUGAUUUGAGAAGGUUGAACUUGUAGGAGAUGCGUCCGAUCUCGAAGUUACCUGCUGGGACCUGGGGGCUGAUCUGCUUGCUGGCGAACCGGCGGCUAGCUCGGCUGCUUGAUGCCUUCGCACCAUUGUAUGGUGGUCGGCUGUCGUAUGCAAUAAAG
rnacentral:misc_RNA from 1 species